GAGACAUCUAUGAUUUUACCGAUGAUGACGUUGAGGAAGAGUAUGACGGCGAUUAUUACGAUAGGGAUUAUGACCCCAAAGUAGAUGCGGAGGACCAGGCCAGGAGAAAAACGACCCAGAAGGUGACCAUAACGAAGAAAUAGAGA